UCGGCGGGGUGCGGGUCCGGGCGCUCGGUGCGCUAUUCCCGGCGGCGUUCCCGGGAACAUUCCCGGCGGCACCCCUUGCCGCCAUGGAGCUCGCCUGCCAGGCGCUGAAAACCACCCACCAGGCGAGGGAAGCGGAGGAGAUGCGAACAGAAGCUCGUCGGAAAAAUCUCCUCAUUCUAAUUUUGCAUUAUUUAAUGGAGAAAGGAUAUGUUGAUGCUGCAAAUGCUUUGGAACAAGAGACAAAAUUAGGUUUACGUGGCUUUGAAGUUUGUGACAACAUUGAUCUUGAGACAAUAUUGAUGGAAUAUGAAAGCUACUAUUUUGUAAAAUUUCAAAAGUAUCCUAAAAUUACCAAAAAGGUCCUGGACACUGCAGAAAAUAAACAACAGCUGAGAAGUGGAGGAAGAGCAAGAAGGACAGCAGCUUCUUCUCUGAAUGUACCAAGGGUCAAACAACAGACAGUGCAACGAUCAGUAUCAAAAACUUCAGCUGGGAGUACAGCAGAACCUAAAUCCUCCACCAAGGAGAGCCCCAGACAGAAUAGUGAUGGUGCAGAUACUCUGGAUCAAUCUGAUUUUGGCUUAAGCAUCUCAGGAAUCGGCAAAACUGGAGGAGACAGCUCUCACCCAAGAAAGGGCCAAAUAAUUGACUACCGCAAGAUGAUUCAGGAUGCUGUCAGAGUGCCACCAGAUGGAAUUCCCUUGAACAGCCUUAAUUGUGAUCCAGAUCCAUCAGAACGAUUAUUGAAACCUCUUAGUGCUUUUACUGGCAUGACUGGUGAGAUGAGAGAACUUGCAGUGGUUGUGAACAAAGACAUUUAUCUCCAUAAGCCAAACGUGAAGUGGGAUGAUAUUAUAGGGCUGGAUGCAGCUAAAAGGCUGGUCAAGGAAGCAGUUGUUUACCCCAUAAAGUAUCCAGAGCUGUUUACUGGCAUUCUGUCCCCUUGGAAAGGAUUGUUGCUCUAUGGACCACCAGGUACUGGAAAAACUUUGCUUGCUAAGGCUGUUGCCACAGAAUGCAAUACAACCUUUUUCAACAUAUCAGCAUCCACCAUUGUCAGCAAAUGGAGGGGCGAUUCAGAAAAACUUGUCCGGGUGUUGUUUGAGCUCGCCCGGUACCACGCUCCUUCCACAAUUUUCCUGGAUGAGCUGGAGUCAGUUAUGAGUCAGAGAGGCACUGUUCCUGGUGGUGAGCACGAAGGAAGUCGGCGGAUGAAAACAGAAUUACUGGUGCAGAUGGAUGGCUUGGCCCGAUCUGAUGAUCUUGUAUUUGUUUUAGCAGCUUCCAAUCUGCCAUGGGAGCUGGACUCUGCCAUGCUGCGGCGGCUGGAGAAGAGGAUCCUGGUGGACCUGCCGAGCGAGGAGGCGCGGCGGGUGAUGAUCCAGCACUGGCUGCCCCCUCUGAGCAACAGCGGCGGCGUCAAGCUCCGGGCGGAGCUGGACUACAGCCUGCUGAGCCGGGUGGGCUGGGACAGCAUCUCAGCGUGCAGGCACUGCCACACAGGCAGCUGGGCACCUCCUCAGCUCACCUGGGAACCAGCGAGAGCGGCACUGGUGGGACCUGGCGCUGGGCACGGCACACACACACACGGAGACACACACAGACACACACAGAGACACACACACACUGACACAGACAGAGACACACACACACAGACACACACACAGAGACACAGACGCAUAGACAUAGACACACACACACACACGGAGACACACACACACUGACACAGACAGAGACACACACACACAGACACACACACAGAGACACAGACACAGACAUAGACACACACACACACACGGAGACACACGGAGACACAGACAGAGACACACACAGACACACACAGACACACACACACACAGACACACACACACACAGACACACACGGACACAGACAUAGACACACACACAGAGACAGAGACAGAGACAUAGACACACACACAGACAGAGACACACACAGACACACAGAGACACACAGACACAGAGAAACAGACACACAGACACACAGACACACAGACACAGAGAAACAGACACAUAGACACACACAGAGACACACAGAGACACAGACACACACACACACAGACACGGACACACAUAGACCCACACACAGAGACAGAGACAUAGACACACACACACACACAUAGACACACACACACACAGAGACACACACACACACACAGAAACAGACACACAGAGACACAUAGAGACACACACAGACACACACACAGAGACAAGUGGAAAUUGCCAUCAUCGCGCAGCUCUGCGUGCAACACGGUGUGUGCUGGCCCUCUCUGCCAGCCCAGCUUUUCAGCCUUAAAUACAGGGAGACAUCCAGCAACAGCAGAUUUUAUCACUGCUCUCACCAAGCUGGGAGCAUUUCCAAUUCAUCAGGGUAAUGAACAGUUAAUUGUGAAGGGAGGGUUUGUCACAGCUCCACUGAUGUGGCAGAAAAGAGCAUUUGGCAGCGAAGAGAUUCACUAGGUACCCCAGCUUCCUUCGUGUAGCCCUUUGUCACAUCCUGGAUUCUUCGGAAACAGAAUCCUAGAAUGGUUUGGGCUGUAAGGGACUUCAGAGAUAAUCUUGUUCCAACUUCCAGCAGUAAGCAGGAGCACCUUCAAUUAGCUCAGGUUGCUCAAGGUCCCAGCCCUUAAAUAUUUUACUUUACCCAGCUGAGAUUCUUACAUCUGUUUAGAGAGACAAUACUGCUCAGUUCUGGGCUCAUAAGGGAAUACAUUUAUUUUAUUAACUGCAAAGCUGAGGAUGGACUCAGAAAGGUGGGUUUUAUUUCCCUUACAGAAAGCUGUCAUUUAGUAAGAAAAUACCCAGUAUUUUUCUUGGUCCUAUGAGAUGUUGCAGGCAUGCAAAGGAUAAGAAGCUACUGAAUUUGAGGGGACAGUACAAAAAAAAAAAUUGUGUGUGUUUCUGUGUGUAUAUAGAUGUGUAUUUCAGACAGCAAGAGACUUCACAAAUAUUUAUAUAAAUACAUACACAAUAUAUAUGCCUGCAAAUUCCAUUUAUGUCUGAUUCAUGAACUGUAAUGUAUCAUUCUCAUCCCCUCACAGGAAACAAAUGGAUACUCUGGCUCAGACAUAAAACUCGUGUGCAAGGAGGCAGCCAUGAGACCAGUGAGAAAAAUUUUCGAUGCUCUGGAAAAUCAUCAGCCAGGUAACAGUAACUUGCCCACGAUCCAGCUGGACACAAUCACAACCG